CAGUAGCCGCGGGAAUACGUAGGGUGCAAGCGUUAAUCGGAAUUACUGGGCGUAAAGCGCACGCAGGCGGUCUGUCAAGUCAGAUGUGAAAUCCCCGGGCUUAACCUGGGAACUGCAUUUGUGACUGGCAAGCUAGAGUGUGGCAGAGGGGGGUGGAAUUCCGCGUGUAGCAGUGAAAUGCGUAGAUAUGCGGAGGAACACCGAUGGCGAAGGCAGCCCCCUGGGACAACACUGACGCUGAGGCACGAAAGCGUGGGGAGCAAACAGGAUUAGAUACCCCAGUAGUCCCUGUCUCUUAUAC
rnacentral:rRNA from 1 species